UACGGAGGGGGCUAGCGUUGUUCGGAAUUACUGGGCGUAAAGCGCACGUAGGCGGCUUUGUAAGUUAGAGGUGAAAGCCCGGAGCCCAACUCCGGAAUUGCCUUUAAGACUGCAUCGCUUGAAUCCAGGAGAGGUGAGUGGAAUUCCGAGUGUAGAGGUGAAAUUCGUAGAUAUUCGGAAGAACACCAGUGGCGAAGGCGGCUCACUGGACUGGUAUUGACGCUGAGGUGCGAAAGCGUGGGGAGCAAACAGG
rnacentral:rRNA from 1 species